rnacentral:lncRNA from 1 species
UUUAAAUUCACAUAAAAUUGAAGAAACCCUUUAACAAGGUUGGUUCCCCAUUUUAUUCCGAUUGAAGUUCAUCAAUAAAGAACAACAAAGCUUUGAAAAGAGUCCUAAAAAAUUAGCAGUAGCUAUAUACCCUCAUUUGAUUUGGGUGUGUUAUCCCCAAAAUCACCCAAAAAGCAAGACAAAUCUCCACAUGCAAUUGCAGAGACUACUAAGAGUUCCUCACCUCGACAAAUCAGAGCCGAGAUGAUAAUCCAACAAAAAGAUGUAGACUGGAGAAACUUCUACACUAGUCAAAUAAGUCAAACGAAAAGAAAAA